rnacentral:rRNA from 1 species
CCGCAACCAGUUGGGCGCAGCCUGAUCAGCCAUGCCGCGUGAGUGAAGAAGGCCUUCGGGUUGUAAAGCUCUUUCAGACGGAAAGAAAUCGGUGCGUUUAAUACAUGCACUGGAUGACGGUACCGUAAGAAGAAGCACCGGCUAACUACGUGCCAGCAGCCGCGGUAAU